GGACAGGUGGCUGAGUGGUCUAAGGCAACAGCUUGCAAGGCUGUCAUACGACGCAAGUCCUCUCGGAGGUUCGAAUCCGUCCCCUGUCCG
rnacentral:tRNA from 1 species